rnacentral:rRNA from 1 species
GACAGCCUAGGUUAACUAGGAGGAAGGUGGGGAGUGACGUCAAAUCAUCAUGCCCCUUACGUUUAGGGCUACACACGUGCUACAAUGGUGAGAACAGAGAGAAGCAAGCUAGUGAUAGUGAGCAAAACUUAUAAAACUCAUCUCAGUUCGGAUUGCAGGCUGAAACUCGCCUGUAUGAAGAUGGAGUUGCUAGUAAUCGCGAAUCAGAAUGUCGCGGUGAAUACGUUCCCGGGUCUUGUACACACCGCCCGUCACACCAUGAGAGUUGGCAACACCCGAAACCUGUGGGCUAACCAUAUAGGAGGCAGCAGUCUAAGGUGGGGUCAGUGAUUGGGGUGAAGUCGUAACAAGGUAGCCGUAGGAGAACCUGCGGCUGGAUCACCUCCUUUCUAAGGAAAG